rnacentral:tmRNA from 1 species
GGGGGCGACAGGUUUCGACGGCGCGUGGAGGGUCUGAUGGAGCAGGUCGAGUUACGUCCGUAAUCCUCGCUAAACAUUCGGGCAAAAAAUAACUGUCGAUAACGACUACGCAUUGGCGGCUUAGUGCCGUUCACGUCAACGGAUGAGCUUUUCCGUCGGUUCGCCGGAGACGUUAUUCAGGCGGAUGCUCUGCUUUUCGUCGGAUCUUGCGGAAGUGGAAAAGAUUAGAGGUCUUGGAAGAGGAAAGGCCGUUUUCUGCCGACCCCUCGACGACAAUUAAAAGGAAACUAAACCUGUAGCGCCAUCACGGCUGGCCCACGUCGGACGGGAGUUCAAUUCUCCCCGCCUCCACCA